rnacentral:rRNA from 1 species
UUUCCGUAGGUGAACCUGCGGAAGGAUCAUUGUCGAAACCUGCAAAGCAGAACGACCCGCGAACCGUUGCGAAGAUCACGGCGGGGCGGGGGCGAGCCGCGGGCSUGUCCCGCUCUCUCCCCCGGACCCGCCACACGAACAAAACCCCGGCGCGGGACGCGCCAAGGAAUCGAAAACGAAAAGAUAGGGAACGGGCGGCCCGUCGCGUGCCGGAGACGGUUCUCUCGCGGGCGGCCCCUUCCCGUUCGGAAACAAAACGACUCUCGGCAACGGAUAUCUCGGCUCUCGCAUCGAUGAAGAACGUAGCGAAAUGCGAUACUUGGUGUGAAUUGCAGAAUCCCGUGAACCAUCGAGUCUUUGAACGCAAGUUGCGCCCGAAGCCUUCGGGCCGAGGGCACGCCUGCCUGGGUGUCAUGCAUCGUCGCCCCUCCCCACAACCUUCCGGCUCCCCCCGAGGGGGAAGGGGGUACGGGAGGGGCGGAGAAUGGUCUCCCGUGCGCUCCCGCUCGCGGUUGGCCGAAAUACGAGUUGUUGGCGGCCGAGAGCGCCACGGCAAGCGGUGGUUGUGAAAGACCUUCGGAUGUUGCCGCGGGCGAGGCCGUCGCGAGGCUCCGGGACCCUGUUUUCUAACCACAGCGACCCCAGGUCAGGCGGGAUUACCCGCUGAGUUUAA